GUUUGCGAUUGGUUAGUGUGAGAUAACUUCCUGCAGAAGGACACAGCCAUUGGCUAAUGUGAGAUAGCUUUCUCCCCUUGAUCAGAUUAGCAGCACCAGUCUUGUAGCAGGAAAUGUACUGGCCUGUCUGCCAUUUAGAGAACUUUAGAAAGGACACACAGCAAAGGACAUUGAGACGAGAGGAGCGAUUCAUUCAAACACACCUCAUCAUUUAUUCAUGACACAGUGAUGAAUAGGCCUAACCUGCCAAAAGGAACAUUUUACAAUGGCACAUAGAGUUGCAUACUAUCCAAUGGCACAUGGACCUGCAUACUAUCCAAUGGCACAUGGACCUGCAUACUAUCCAAUGGCACAUGGACCUGCAUACUAUCCAAUGGCACAUGGACCUUCAUACUAUCCAAUGGCACAUGGAGCUGCAUACUAUCCAGUGGUAUAUGGAGCUGCAUACUAUCCAGUGGCACAUGGAGCUGCAUACUAUCCAGUGGCAUAUGGAGCUGCAUACUAUCCAGUGGCACAUGGAGCUGCACACUAUCCAAUGUGAAUGUCAGCCCACUUGAUUUUCACGCUAUACAAAUGUGAUCACCCUUUCUGAAUACAUUUUUCUAACAAGGGAUAGGGUGCUAUUUGGGACGCAACAUGGCUCUUGUCUCUAAUGUGGCCAUUGAUCAGGUCUGUAGUCAGCCGAAUGUGUUAGACUGUUUUUUUAAAAGGUGGUUAUGGCUACAGAGGAGAAUGUAAAGGACACAGAAUGAUGCAGGUUUAUGGUGGUUUGAAAGACCCAAUGCAACUUGGAAAUUCACUUAAACAAACCUAGACCAGAGACCAAGAGGGCACGACUUAUGUUAACAAACCUCUGACCUUAAGAACAUGUUCUGUUUGAUAAAUUAAGUGCUUCUCUGGUUCUGGAAUGCAGGUACUGUAGGAGGUCACUGAACAUAUGACCUGUAUCACACUUCAUUUAUUUGAUUUGUUUAACACUUUUUUGGUUACUUCAUUAUUCCAUAUGUGUUAUUUCGUAGUUGUGAUGUCUUCACUAUUAGUCUACAAUGUAGAAAAUAGUAAAAACAAAGAAAAACCCU
rnacentral:lncRNA from 1 species